GCCCUACGGGGCGCAGCAGUGAGGAAUAUUGGUCAAUGGCCGAGAGGCUGAACCAGCCAAGUCGCGUGAGGGAUGACGGCCCUACGGGUUGUAAACCUCUUUUGUCGGGGAGCAAGACCCGCCACGAGUGGCGGAGCGAGAGUACCCGAAGAAAAAGCAUCGGCUAACUCCGUGCCAGCAGCCGCGGUGAUACGGAGGAUGCGAGCGUUAUCCGGAUUUAUUGGGUUUAAAGGGGGCGCAGGCGGCCCAUCAAGUCAGCGGUAAAAUCGUGGGGCCCAACCCCAUCCCGCCGUUGAAAAUGGCGG
rnacentral:rRNA from 1 species